UACGAGGGGGGCAAAUGUUGUUCGGAAUCACUGGGCGUAAAGGGAGCGUAGGCGGGUUCUUAAGUAAGGUGUUUAAUCCCGGGGCCCAACCCCGGACCGGCACUUGAAACUGGGAAUCUUGAAUAGUGGAGAGGCCAGUGGAAUUGGGGGUGUAGCGGUGGAAUGCGUAGAGAUCCCCAAGAACACCAGUUGCGAAGGCGGCUGACUGGACACAUAUUGACGCUGAGGCUCGAAAGCAUGGGGAGCAAACAGG
rnacentral:rRNA from 1 species